UACGAAGGGGGCUAGCGUUGCUCGGAAUCACUGGGCGUAAAGGGUGCGUAGGCGGGUCUUUAAGUCAGGGGUGAAAUCCUGGAGCUCAACUCCAGAACUGCCUUUGAUACUGAAGAUCUUGAGUUCGGGAGAGGUGAGUGGAACUGCGAGUGUAGAGGUGAAAUUCGUAGAUAUUCGCAAGAACACCAGUGGCGAAGGCGGCUCACUGGCCCGUAACUGACGCUGAGGCACGAAAGCGUGGGGAGCAAACAGG
rnacentral:rRNA from 1 species